UGUCUCAUAUGAAGGGCUCUGAUGCCACCCAUUUCAUAUUGGAAAUUCAAGGCAAAAGGUAACGUGAGUAAUGUGGCUUUAUGUAAUCAUAAGAUACAGUUUUAACCUUUAUUUUCUAAUAGGCACUACGUUUCACCCAAAGAUUAUGAAUCAGCCUGAAGAAGGGCCUGUGUGCCUAAAAGCUGUGUUUUUCUUCAAAGUUAUCAAGCUGCCCUAAUAAAAAAUAAUAAUUAAAA